rnacentral:lncRNA from 1 species
GAAAGAAUGCAAAUAGCACCGGCUGAGCCGAACAUUUCAUAAAGAAGGGAACAGCCAGCGACCCAAAGGGCUCCGGAUCUCCCUGCGGCACCCGGUGAAGACCAUUUCUGCAAUUUAUCAAGACCAUUUUGAAUCCUAACCCUGGCCUCCGAAGCACUUGCAGCCUGUCCCAGCCUGGUUUCAGCAGCAGUUUUAACCAAAUUAAAUCGUGGACGAGCGAAAGAGAGAGGCCAUCAGAAUUACCGACUGCCCGAUCCCCUAAAUGCAGGAGAUACUUUUCCAAGGCUUUUGAACUCAAACGUGGAACAGAAGGAAGACGCGGGGGG